UCUGGUUAAAUUUUCUGUUAAUGGCUAAAAAAAGAUCAUCACCUCAUCCUCUUGAUUAUCAAGAUAUAAAGAUCUACUGAUUCAACACUUGAAAACUCUUAAGAUGUUACAUUUCUUUCUUUCCAUAUUACCUAAUUAACUCUCAAAUAUUUCAGCAUAACAAAGGAGUAGCCAAGGUCCAUUUCCUCCCUACCUCCUUCUCUCUCUUGUUCCAUUUAUUGUUUUUUUUCCCCCUUUCUCUCUUCUGUACCUCAGUCUCUGCCUCUAUUUCUUUCUCUCUGUCUUUCUCUCUUAUUACUGCUUUCUUGCAUUUGAUAUUACAGUUUUUAGGGACAGAAUUUUGAGAACGUCUCUCUCCAAAAUAUCUUCUGUUCUAUAAACCUGAUAGCCUCUCCUGCUAUGCUGACACUCUGUUUAGUAAUAAUUUAUUUUUUGCUUUAUUUUCACAUGCUCUUUAAAAUCUAUAAUUGAUUACAAAUGGUGAGACUGUACUAUGUUGUUAUUUCUUUAUUUUGAUAAUAUGUGUAUAUUUGUCCUUAAGUUCCAUUCAGGGCUUUUGUCACAUAUCUUCUGUUUAAAAGAUAACUGAACCAUUUGCAAACUGAAGACAAUUAAAAAUUAAGGUAAGGAUAAGGGAAAAUGGUUAUUAGCAAAGAUCAAAACUUAAUUUUAAUAGAAACAAGAGGGGGAAAAGCUGCAGACCAUUUGGGGACAGUAAUUGAGGUUUAUAGAUCAAGUGAGCUGAUUAGUUGUUGACUACAAAGAGCUCUAAAAUCAAAACACUCUAUUUCUGUACUACUAGACAUAGAACCCUUCUGAUACCAUAUAUGUGGGUUUUUCCCCAUACCAACCAAUUCACCAACUCUCUGGAAACUGACUGGGCUUCCUAUAAUUCAGUUCAGUUCUGACACUAUCUAGUAGAAGUUAGCUCACAACCCACAGCUUAAGGGCUGAGUCCCAUGAGACUGCCCCCUACCUCAGUUGCCAAUUGAAAACUCAGGUUGUCAUCUGUGCUUGUGACUGACUGGUUAUAAAUGCUCAUGACCCCCUCCUAUGGUUUGAUAAUUUCUUAGAAUGGCUCACAGAACUCAAGAAAACAGUUUAUUUACUAGAUUACUGACUUAUAAAAGGCUACAACUCAAAAGCAACAAGAUGGAAGAGAUACAAAGGGCAAGGUAUGGGAAAGGGACAUAGAGCUUCAUGCCUUAUUCAGGUGUGCUAUCUUCUCAGCACCCCACGUGUUCACCAGCCUGGAAGCUCUCCAAACCCAUACUUUAGGGAUUUUUGUGAAGGCUUCAUGAUAUAGGCAUGAUUGAUUCAAUCAUUGACCAUUGGUGAUUGAACACAAUCUCUAGCUCCUCCCUAAGGUCAGGGGGUGGGGCUGAAAGUUCCAACUCUUUAAUCACAUGGUUGGUUUCCCUGGAAACUAGCCUCCAUCUUUGGAGAAGAAGAACAUAACCAGAAAAGUUUGUCUUUGUAUGGACCCUAGGCAGAAAACAAACUCUCCCUUGAAAAUAUGUAAUGGAGGCUUUGUGAUGUUCUGGGAUUUAAAUUAACAUUACUUUCAGAAUUUAGUAAAUUACAAACUGAUAAUAUAACAAAAGGUUUUCCUAGAUUGGUAGUGCCUUAAGAAAUCUAACACCACCUCUCAAAGUUCUCAAAGGAUUCACACAGAUGCUCCUUAAACAUGGAGAUCUCACCAAGAUUCACCAGUCUGCUUGACUGAACUGCAUGUUACGUGAGAUAGCACAACUUAUACCCUUGAGCCCAGACCAAUCUCCCCGGCUCUGGGGAAAUUGCUAAGCUGAUCCUAAAAUUCACAUGGAAAUGCAAGGCUCUCAGAAUAGGUAAAACAAUCAUAAAAAGAACAAAAGUGGAGGACACUUCCCAAUUUCAAACCUUACUACCCUUUGUAACUUCAAAUCUAACUAUAAAGAUAUAGUGGUUAGCGUUGUGUUGCACUGGAAUAAAGGUAGACUUAUAGACAAUAGAAUUGAGAGUUCAGAAAUUUAAAAAAAAAAAAAAACACAGGCAACCUAUGCUUGUCAUACAUAUUCUCGAAAUCCAAUAUUACAAGUUUUGUAGUUUCUGCUUCAAGUACAAUGAAAUAACUGCCUAUCAGAUGACACUCCUGCAAAAUGAACUAUAAAACCUGGAUAUGAUACAAAAAGCAACUACCAGAAAAAACUGGAAGGCAAGAGAAGCAGACCAACCCUACUGGAGAGUAUGUGCUUCAUGGAGGAGGGGAAAAUGAGGGACUAUGAGAGUAUUUUCCAGUCUCUGGGCAGUUUACACAGCUUCAGUGGGAGAACAUGUGGAAAGCCCACUUCUGGAAUGGGAACCUGAAGAUUGAAAAGUGGAACAGUUUACAAAUAGCACCCCCUUUUUAUCAGGAUGUUUGCUUUUGUACCAAACGUCAUGUAAGGAUGUCCAAGCUAUGUGGGGAGGCUGUGAGUUGGUGAUUUCGCCAGCAGCUAGUAUGCCAGUGGAUAGCCAGCAUCAGCCUCCAGAAAUGUGAAUGAAGAAACCUUCAGAUGAUUCCAGCUCCCAGGCUUCAGAUCAACUCAGAUGGAACCAAGUGGAGCAGAGAUGGACUAUUCUUACUGAAAACUGCCCAAGUUAAAGAACGGGCCUUGGACUAGGAACACUUCCUUAUCAAAAGAUAAAGAGCCUACACAGCCCGUGCUGCACUUAUCUCGUGUGGAAAUAUCUUCCCCAGUUUCGUGUUCGCGGAUGCUCUCUUUGUCUCUGCCUGAAGUGAGUAUGUCAUAUGGUCCCUGGCCAACCCCACUGCUAUAUCUGCUCUCUGCAGGGAGGGGACAGGCUCCUUCCACUGUCACACAAGAAGGGUGUGUAUAGGGCAGACCAAUUGCCAUGGGGGACCACGCACACCACUGAAGCUGAUCUUGCUCUCUCUCUCGUCUAUAUUGCCUCCGUGAAGUCAGAGACUGGAGAGGAAAUGGAAUGUUUCGAAAACAAAACCAAAACCAAACCCAACAGCAGCACAUGGUUGACAUCUUGCUACCUGAAGCUAGAAUCAUCAAAAACCCCAGAGGCAAAAUGUCAUUACUGGAAUCAGAAGAUGACCUGAAAGAAACAACUGAGUGACUUGUAGCUGCAUGAACAAUGUUCUGUGUACUGUUCUGAUGCAACCCUCAUAAGCCUGAAUCUCAGCUAUGGGAUUGGAUUUAAUGGAGCAACCCAAAAUCCUUAGAUGGGGGUGCGCCUGGGUGGCUCAGGCAGUUAAGUGUUGGGCUCUUGAUUUCGGCUCAGGUCAUGAUCUCAGGAUUGUGAAAUCCAGCCCUGCACUGGGCUCCAUGCUGAGCAUGGAGCCUGCUUAAGAUUCUCUCUCUCCAUCUCUCUCUGCACAAACCACCCCCCCACUCACACUUUCUCUCUAAAAAAAAAAAAAAAAAAAAAAAAAGUCCUUAGCUAGGAAGAAUAAUAUUGAAGAAUACAUUGAUAUAAACCAGGCUAGAAUGUGUAGUAUUCCAUUGUGUUUUGGCACAUUUAUGCCAACACAAAUCAAAAGAUUGCUACAUCUGUCAUCUCUACACUUACUAUGGCAAAAUACUGUUAUAGGUAUUUUAUGAAUAUUAACUCAUUCAAUCCUUUAAUAAAUCCUCUGUGGUAGUUGUUAUAAAUGUGGACAUGAGUAGGGCUGAAUUUCCUAUCCCUUGGACCGCCACCCAUUCACUUAUUUUUUUUUUUUUACUGACUCUGUGUAAAAAUAAUUUUAAAAUGAUUCAAAAUAAAAGCAGUAUUUGUGAAUUAUGAUAAGUUUUUCCCUUUUGGUGCCCAGUAUACAACAUGAGGGAAAAAAUAAUGUAUUUAGUU